UACGUAGGGGGCAAGCGUUGUUCGGAAUUACUGGGCGUAAAGGGCGCGUAGGCGGCUCGGUAAGUCGGGAGUGAAAGCCCGGGGCUCAACCCCGGAACGGCUCUCGAAACUGCCGCGGCUCGAGUGCGGAAGAGGCAACCGGAAUUCCCAGUGUAGCGGUGAAAUGCGUAGAUAUUGGGAAGAACACCUGAGGCGAAGGCGGGUUGCUGGGCCGACACUGACGCUGAGGCGCGAAAGCCAGGGGAGCAAACGGG
rnacentral:rRNA from 2 species